AAAUCCGGGAUUUUUCACCCCAAAAUCCCGUCCCUGGGACCGAAUCCCCAAACCUGGCGCUUUUCACUCCACAUUUGGGGUUUUCCACCCCAUUUUGUGAUCCUGUUCCCCUCACGAAUUUCCCACCUUUUCCCUCCCAAUUGUUCACCUAUUCCCUCACAGUUUUCCUUCCUUUUCCUCCAUUUUGUGACCCCGUCCCCUCACGAUUUUCCCUCCGAUUCCCCUCACAAUAUUCCCAUCUUUUCCCUCACAAUUUUUCUGCAUUUUCCCUCAGAAUUUUCCUGCCUUUUCCUCCAUUUUGGGAUCCUGUUCCCCUCACAAUUUUCUCACCUUUUCCCUCACAAUUUUCCUGCCUUUUCCCUACCAAUUUUCUCCACCUUUUCCCUCACAAUUUUCCCGCAUUUCCCCUCAAAAUUUUUCCACCUAUUCCCUCACAAUUUUCCCGCCUUUUUCCCCACAACUUUCCCACUUCUUCCCUACCAAUUUUCUCCACCUUUUCUCCUCACAAUUUUCCCGCAUUUCCCCUCACAAUUUUCCCGCCUUUUCCUCCAUUUUGUGACCCCAUGCCCUCACAGUUUUCCCGCCUUUUUCUCCAUUUUGUGAUCCUGUUCCCCUCACGAUUUUUGCACCUUUUCCCCUCACGAUUUUCCCACAUUUUCCCUCACGAUUUUCCCACAUUUUCCCUCACAAUUUUCCCGCCUUUUCCCUCACGAUUUUCCCACAUUUUCCCUCACAAUUUUCUCACCUUUUCCCUCACAAUUUUCCUGCCUUUUUCCUACCAAUUUUCUCCACCUUUUCUCCUCACAAUUUUCCCACAUUUUGCCUCACAAUUUUCUUACCUUUUCCUCCAUUUUGUGAUCCUGUUCCCCUCACGAUUUUUUCCCCUUUUCCCCUCACGAUUUUCCCACAUUUUUCCUCACAAUUUUCCCACCUUUUCCCUCACAAUUUUCCCACCUUUUCUUCCCACAAUUUUCCCACCUUUUCUUCCCACAAUUUUCCCGCCUUUCCCCUCACAAUUUUCCUGCAUUUUCCCUCAAAAUUUUCCCGCCUUUUCCUUCACAAUUUCCCCGCCUUUUCCCUCACGAUUUUCCCGCCUUUUCCUCCAUUUUGUGACCCUUUCCCCCCACGAUUUCCCCACAGGAGGAAGGGCUCAAAUUGACCUUCCAGAAACAUCGGCUGGGGCCCAACGGGGCCCAACGGGCGCCCAACCCUCCCAAGAAAAACAGCAAGAAACUGGUGGAGUUCAUCCCCUCCCCCCCCUCAGGUUUGGACCUUUCCAAGAUGGUGGCGUUGAUGGGGGGUGGAGCCAGCGGCACAGGGGGCGUGGCCUCUCCCUCCCUAGCCCCGCCCCCGCGCUUCCGGCCGGAAGCAGAAGAGGAAGCGGAAGCAGGAAGUGGGUGCUGCCCCCUGCUGGCCGACCCCAUGCUGCCGCCCACUUCCGACUCGGAUUAAGCCCCGCCCCUUCUCCUGCCGGGGCCACGCCCCCCUCCCCAUAUUUAUAUAAAUAUGUAAAAUGUCUCUGUGUCAUAGGGGGGCGGGGCGGGGGGCGGGGCUGAGCGGGGCGGGGCCGAGUGGGGCGGGGUCAGUGUGGGCAGGGCUGGCGGGAUGGGAGGGGCCUGGUGGGUUUUUUUUUAAUAAAAGGUUUGGAAAUGGAGCA
rnacentral:lncRNA from 1 species